rnacentral:lncRNA from 1 species
UAUUAUGAUGAGAUUUACAUUAUUAUGGAUUAAAAGAAUCUUAAAUUUUUGAAAUAAUUUGGUCAUGUUUCAUUGAUAUCAUAGUAAGUAUUAGAUUGUUUUUUGGUAGCAUGUCGAUAGCCACUAUUUAGUUCAAGGUCAAUUAUUAUAGUCACAUUGGAUAUUAAAUUGAGGCUAUUACAAGCUACUCUUAAGAAGUGAGCUAGAAAGAGAGAAGGCAUUAUAAUAGUAGAGUCCAACAAG